GUUCAUUCAUUCACACACACACACACACAUAUUUAUGUAUGUUUACGUUCCCCAACCAGCAGUGUGUGUGUGUGUGUGUGUGUGUGUGUGUGUGUGU